UAGGGAAUCUUCCACAAUGGACGCAAGUCUGAUGGAGCAACGCCGCGUGAGUGAAGAAGGGUUUCGGCUCGUAAAGCUCUGUUGUUAAAGAAGAACGUGGGUAAGAGUAACUGUUUACCCAGUGACGGCAUUUAACCAGAAAGCCACGGCUAACUACGUGCCAC
rnacentral:rRNA from 1 species